rnacentral:rRNA from 1 species
UACGUAGGGGGCGAGCGUUGUCCGGAUUCAUUGGGCGUAAAGAGCUCGUAGGCGGCUUGGCAAGCCGGGUGUGAAACCUCCAGGCUCAACCUGGAGACGCCACCCGGGACUGCUAUGGCUAGAGUCCGGUAGGGGAUCACGGAAUUCCUGGUGUAGCGGUGAAAUGCGUAGAUAUCAAGCGGAACACCGGUGGCGAAGGCGGCCUUCUGGACAGUGACUGACGCUGAGACGCGAAAGCGUGGGGAGCAAACAGG